rnacentral:rRNA from 1 species
UACAGAGGGUGCGAGCGUUGUCCGGAAUUACUGGGCGUAAAGGGCGCGUAGGCGGCCUGUUAAGUCGGACGUGAAAGCCCCGGGCUCAACCUGGGAAUUGCAUUCGAGACUGUGUAGCUAGGGUGCGGAAGAGGGAAGCGGAAUUUCCGGUGUAGCGGUGAAAUGCGUAGAUAUCGGAAGGAACAUCAGUGGCGAAAGCGGCUUCCUGGUCCAACACCGACGUUCAGGCACGAAAGCGUGGGGAGCAAACAGG